rnacentral:lncRNA from 1 species
UCGCUUUAACCUAAGAAAAUGUCAAAUUGCUUAUGACUCAAUAGUGUUAAUAUAUAGUAUCAGUUUCUUGUAUGCAAUUUUUUUUUUUUUUUCUUGAAAACAAAUAUUUUAGAUGGUAGAAGUAAAAGCCAUUUGCAAUCAUUUAGCUUUGUUGGCCUGGCCUGUAGGUGUGAUCCUUGUAUAUUAUCCUAUGAAGUCAUUCAUAUUUUCAUUAGAAAAGACCAAAAGUUACAUAAACCAUAUGGGUAUAGUCAGACAGCUCACUUUGAUGACUUAAUUUGAAUAGAAAGUAAUAUAGGUCAUGUAAAUCUUACGAUUGGCCUGGAGUCUGGCAUUUUCUUUGAUAUUUAUACUACUUAAGAUCAAAAAGAAAUGGGAGAGAAAAUUGUAUACCCUUUCCUCUUCCUUCUAUUCUGGUCGGUUAAAUGGCUAAGAUAUUUUGUCUUAUAUAUUGAAUGGGGUUUUGAAUCAUUUGAUAAAAUCAAAGAUGCUUUAUGAUAUGCUAAUGUUCUUAGAGUUCUUAUACUGACGGAGACCCCUUUGUUUGUGGAGUUGGUUUGAAGUGUCAAAAUCCGAUAUGAGAUUCAUAUAACAAAUGUCUCACCCAGUGCAUCAUAAAGUAAGAAUUCAUUAACAUUGAAAACACAACUUAGUUACCUUGAUAACGCUUCUAACAGGACAUUGUUUACGGUGAUCUGGUCAACAGUGACUAGGCUAACCUCUGUUUAUUUGAAAACUAUGCUUCAGAAUCUGUUUUUUCUUCCUUCAGUUGGCUUAUGUGAUAAAAGUAACUCUGUGACUGCCUUUAGGCCUUGGUGCUUAAGAGUUUGUACUCUCUUCUUGUUCUCUUAGAUGUUUUAGUCUUUUGAGAUUCGGCUAUCUUGAGCUAUGGGGGUCAUAUUGUUUUGGAUCUAAGAGUUAUUGCGUUUACUUUUGGAGAUCAUUAUAAGUUACAUGCUUUUGGAAGUCAGUCCGGCUUUACAGCCAUGAAAUUGGGAUGUGUUAUUGUUUCUCGUGCAGUGGUGGAAAGAAUGGCACCUUCUUUAAUGGCACAUCGCUGGCACCUGCAUCAAAUUCCACCUCGGCUGAAUCUGCCUCCCCUCACAGUUUCCAUGACACCAAGUUGCUCUUUCAAAUCUUCGGAGUCCUGCUAUUGAGUCUGCUAUUCUUGUAGUUCAUGAUCUCUCUUCUUUUUGUUCAGAGUGAUCUUGGAUCAGAAGCCUUGGAAUUGAAAAUUGGAUUGAAUGUGGACUUCUGAGGGGGGAUGUGCUUCCUUUUUUCGAUGAUGAAGCUUGCUGCAUGGCACACCCAAUUUUGUCUUAUGCUUAGGCGAAGGAUUUUCAUGGAAUUGGAUUAGUUCAUUGCCAUUCCUUUUGUUUCUGUUUCUUUAGUUGGACUGAUUGCAAAUUUUUGUACAAAGAGAUCUAAGUAGUUGAUGAUCCAAGAACUAGAGACUGUUGCUCUUUGAUCACGCUCAUGUCAACUGACAUGUUAUUUAUUGGAAUUGGUUUGUUCCUUUUCAAUUUUUCCUCAUCCUUGCGAUAUGUUUAUUAGAUUUUGAAAACCAUUUAAAUCAAUUAACUUGUAGAGGGUAUUGUUUCAAGGCAAAUACCAGUGUUGCAUAAAGUCUUGGCUAUUUCGGUUGAACAAAUUAAUAAGCUUCUAGUAGGCGUUUGCAUCUUCAUCUCUAACGUCACGUACUCAUUUGUAUUUCUAGCAGUUAAUCUUAACCUUUUGUAUAUGAUCCUGAUGUUCUCGUCAAGGGCAUUUAUCUUCAUACCAGCAUCUCGAACGAUGAAAGCGCAACCAAACACGUCCCUCAAAGAUAUGUAGAAAAGUAAAGCUUCAGGUACUACAAUGUGACAAUGAGCAUUGAUUCUGAGAUGAUGAACAGAAUGUACAUGACAAAAGAUGGAUGGUUGCGCAUUGUUCUUCAAAUUAAAGCUAUUUGAUGGUUUUUGUGUCUGGGGUAGAAUGCUUGGCAUAUUGGGCCUUAGUUUUGUCUUUUAAGUUGAUGUUUGGUGAUCCAGAUGAGAUUAGAUGAUCUUAGAUCACUGAUGAUCUUUAUCCAAGGAUAAUUUGAUUUUUGAUUAUCUAAGAUCAUCAUGUUUAGUAUGUUAUAUUUCAGUAAUUAAAAAUUUUCAGAUAUUUAUAAUAAUUUAUUUAGUAUUCGAUGGAAAUUCAAAAUCACUAACUGUAUAAUAUUUAAAUUAUCCUUCAUAUAUUCUAUAAAUUAUAUUUAUCACUUAUAUAAAAUAUAUUAAGAUCCAUUAUUAAUAUAUAACAUAAAAUGAUAUUUAUUAAUUUUAUAAAAAUAUAUUAAUUAUUAUUAUAGAAUUAAUAUUUUUUUAUAAUAUAUGUAAUUAUUUCAAUAUCAGUACUUAUUUUGAUUAAGAAAAUUAAAAAAAUAAGAUAAAUAGAAGUAAUAUAUAAAAAAAUUAUAAUAUAAAUAUAAAGUAUAAUAAUAUAUUUUUAUUAUAUUUUAAAAUUAUAAAUAAAUUAUGAUAUGAUAAUAAUAAUAUAAUAUAUAAUAUUGAUAUAAUAUGUUAGAUAUAUUGAUAUACUAAUUUUUUUUAUUGAACCAAGAGGUAUUUUUGUCACUAAAUUUUGGUCCAAUAUUACCAUCCUAGGAUUGUCUUCUAGAGUUGUCUUCGAUAUCUGACCCCAAGGAUGAGUUUUUUAUCAUUGAGAUAGAUAGCGAUUUGAUGAGUAAUGGUAAUUUUGGAUCUCUAUCACACACGAUUAUCUAAGCAAAUAUGGUGAUAUUGUUAUCUUUAGCCGCAUCAUUCUCGAUCUUGACAUCAUCACUCUAUAUCAAGCGCUUUAGAUCCGUUCAUAAUUAUGGGAACUCUAUCCAAGAUCACGCCCUUCUACUUUGGGAGGUCAAAUAGCUGUGCCACUGGGUUGCAUGGACUUGGCAUGGCAACCAAUUUAAUGUUUGGAACAAGACUGUUGCCAACGGUACAUCGCUCAUGGGCCUGAAUAACACUUUUUGAGUGAACAGGUGGGGGCCCAUAUCUGCGAGGAGGCGGACACGUCAACUUUGGUAUAUUAAAAGAUCUAGAAGGGCAUUUCGGUAAUUCCAAAUCCAACGACACCCGGUCGUAACCCUAAUUUUCUAGGGCUACAAAUACCCGAUCGCCCCCAGCUAACUUUAUUCCUGUCCAUCUAAUUGGCUUUCGUGUCCUGUGCCUUUUUAUUUUUCUAAAAGUUCCUGUUCUUGAUUUAAUUUUCUCUUAUUCUUCGUCUGAUUAGAUUCGAUCUUUCCUAUUUGUUUUCAUUUGCUUAAUGUAUUAGUGUUAUUUUCCGUUGAAGCACUCUUUGCUUAGAUCUAUGGCUUGGAUCGGAUCACCAUCGAUCCAGAGCUUUGGGAUACAAGAGAUGCGAGAUCGAUUGCUUGGUACCUUUGGACGUGCGGUUUCCUGAUCUCCCAUGGAUCCUCGCGUUUUCUCGUAGGCUCUACAUCAUUCUCUCCACUCUAAUCUCAAGAAAUCUUUUUCUUUCUUGCGAUAAUUUAACUACUCUGCUUUUAUUUUGUGCUUUAUUUUGGAAUUUUGGGCUCGAUGAUGAUUUAUUUUGCUUUAACCACACCGAAAGAGAAGCCGGAGGAGAGGGGUCGUUUAUGGUCCCCAAUUUCUCUUCUUUGGUCUGUUGAUCUUUUGCUGGGUGUUGCCUGGGGAUCUCUUCCUUCUUCUUGUGGGAGUCUCGCUCUCUUUGGGGUGGUUUUCCCUUGGGAAGAGGAGAGGAGUGAAGGCUUCGGCAAGCUUGGGAGCAGCAGAUCCAGUUGGGUUCCCAUGUGCGAUUUUCCUCCGAUGGACUUUCUUGGAAGUGGAAAACUUUGGCCAUAAGACUGAGAGCUCUAUUAUAUUAAUAGUACCUUUUGCUGAAGUUUUUCUCUAAUUCUUGAUCUUUUUUAGGUCUCUCUGUGGCAAACUUGAAUCAAAUCAGAUGGACCAAAAUUCUAAUUUUAAUGAAUCGGAUUGUUAAAGAAUUGUUCGAUCUCGGUGGAUAUUAUUUUUUGUUUUCAGUGGAUUUGCGCUAUUACGGUUUAGAUUUGAUUGACACAUGGGUUUUACCUCAGUUAGUCUUUCUCGUCCGCAUCACGAUAUAUCAACUCCAUUUAUCUCAUCAUAUUUGUAUAUUUGUAUCGUGGAACAAUGCCUCUUUAUGAUCUUUCGGUGAAUAGCUUAGAGACACUAUAAAAGCAAAUCUUUCUUAGAUGUUUGUUUUAUUUUUAUUUUUUAAAUUUUUAGAGUGAGUUUUUUAUUUUCAAUUGUUCUUUAUUUCAGUCUUUGAUCUUUUGCUGAAUCGAUUUGGAUUGCAAGGUAUAUACCUUGAAACCUAAGGUUUUUUUUUGCCGAAUGAUUUAGGACAAUAGCAUUAGGUUAAUUAAACUCUAAGAAUUGUACGGUUGGGCCUUCAAAAAAUUAUAUCAUGAGUACUAAUUAUUUUUUAAUAAUUUUUUGUUUUGUUCAUAUACUCAAAGUGAAAUGUGAUACUUUGUUUAAGAUUCCAUUCUUUUUGGUAUCAUCAAUCUCCUAAAAUGUUAGCCUUCUUCAACCAAUAAUUGAGUUCUAGGUGAUCGAAAACAGGAGAAUAUCAUCUUGUUUUACCUCGUCCGAGUUCAUAAUAAAGAAAAAAGAAAGUAAAUUGUCGUUUGAGAAAAAAAAAAAGGAAAAUUCGUUUCGCAUUUACCUUAUUGAUAAAACUCCCGAAGAGAAAAUCUAUAGGAAAGUGCAUUGGUACCAAUGCUGGAGUUUUGUGGUAAAUUUUUUUUGCAUUAAAGCAUGCAACAUGAAUCACCAUUAACUUUUCUGAAUAUUUUAGGAACAUAGUGAAAAUGUUAUAUGUUCACACACCUAGCAACUUAUAUUUUAUAGAUGGUAUAGCCCUAAACAGAAGCUACCCGAGUAACAUAUUCCCUGUUCAAAUCAUAUUACACCACGGAGUCAUGGUAUAUUCAAACAAACUCCAUAAUGAAAGUAAGGUAUGGAGACUUUUAGUACUUAUGAAGUCAUAAUAGUUGAUGAAAGGUCAUAUAAAAAAUUGAAAUCAUAUGAUUUUAUAAAGUUUAACUUUUAAUUACGAUGAGAUCUUGAGUGCUUGAUAAUCGUUUGGCUAAGAUCGUUUCUAUUGGUUGGAGGAAUUUGUUGGAUUUACUAUCAAUGUUGAUUUCAGAAUUCGUUGUUGGGUUCCUUCUGUAUUAUGUGCUGAAUUUUUUAUUAAACAAAUAGAUCCAUCUUUUACUCUGAGAUAUGAAUAAAGAAUCUCUAAUGGCUGUGAAUUUUGCUUGAAACUUUAUCUCAAAUGGGCAUUAAAAUGGCAUUCAGUUAAAAAAAGCUGGAUUCAUAUGUAAAAUUUUGUAUUAAAUAUUGAUGAUAUGCAUGAACAUUGAAAAUGCCUGGUAAAAUAAUAAAAAGAUCGGUAAAUAGUUUUUCUUUUGAUAGAAGGCUCGGAGGUGAUUAGCUAUACAAUAUGGGAUAGCCCUUUUCCAAAUUUUGUAACAUUGACGGUGGGGUUCAUCCUUGUCAGUUGAUCCAAGUAUACAUCCAAGUAUACAGAACUGGACCAAUGUCAGCUUUUGAUCCAAAUAUAACCAACUUCAUCAAUUCCUGAUUAUGGGAAGCAUGUGUGUGCUGUGACUGGGUGAAAAUGAUUUUUUUUUAUUUGAUAUAGAAGAAAUAAAAAAGAAGAACAUAUUAUAUUUACAUGAUAUUUUUAUCAGAUUAUAAAGAACUUUUAUAUAUUAUAAAGAACUUCAUAUAUGAAACCCCGCGAGUGCGCAUAUAUAUAUAUAUAUAUAUAUAGUAUAAAAUCGUUAUUUGGAAUGAUAUUUUUUUUACUAGAAAAUAACAUUCUAAAUGAUGUUUUCAGCUUUUGCAUUAAUUCGAUAAAUAAGUUGAAAUCUGCAUCAAUUCGAUAAAAUAGUUCAAAAAAAAUUAGUACGGUAAAGGACUUUUAGAAGAAGGUUAUAGGUCCGAGGAAUGAAUGCACAAAUGACAGAAUUUUUUAUUUAAUUAUAAUAAAAAAUUAAAUAUAUUGAUAGGUACCAUGAGUCCUUUCAUUAUUUAUCUAAAAUUAUUUAAUUCUAAAUAGGAUGAUAGUAUUAGAUAUUUUUAUGGAAAAGAAAAAAACUUUUAGCCCUCCAAAUUUAGGUAGGAAUUUUCAUAAAUUUUUAAAUUUAAAAAAUUUAAAUUUAAUCCCUAUGUUUACUUAAUUGUUUUAAUGUAGCAUUUUAUAGUAUGUGUACCUUCCUCCUUGAAAGCUGGACACCAUGUUAUCAAGGAAAAGCAAAAGACUCAACCAUAGAAAUAAUAAAGAUACUAAAAAAAAUUGAUGGGAAAAGAAAUAGCCAAAGAUAAGAAUCGUAGUGUUCCAUAAUUCAAUAUAUAAACUUGGAUGUAGUCUUUUUUUUUCUUGAGUUUUUUAGAAGCCCAGGGGCUCUCAUUAUCCUUUUUUGUUUAUGACCCUCUUUUGUAAUAGACAGGCCUUUCAGCCUCUUUUUCUUUCCUUAGAUCUCUCUUCCAUAUAAUUAAUAUUUAUAUCUUUUAAUACAAAACUUCGAAUGAGAAAUCUCUCCUUUUCCAUCAAAAAAAAAAAAUGUAGCACUUUCUCCAAAUUUUGAUCAUUUUCUCUCACUGAAAAUUUCUGUUGGCAUUAAUUGAUGAUUAUACGGCUAAUUAUGUGAGAGAAAUAAUUUUGAUAAAUGAUUAUAUGAUCGACUAAUGAUAAUGUAGUAUAUGGACGAUGACAUAAUAUAGUAGAUAAAAAUUUUUAUUUUGAUGAUAUAUAUGAGUGAUGAUAUAGUAUAUGCUAUAGAACUUUCUAUCUAAAAAUGUCUAAUCGUCAAGUACCACAUCAUCAUCUAAAUACGAUGGAUCCAUAUAUCACGCCAUCAUCCAUAUAUCAUAUCGUCUUCCAUAUACCAUAGAUUUUGUUUUUGUUCUUCUAAGUUUCACAAAUAUUUUUACAUACUACUUAUAGUCUCUAGUUAAAUUCUUUGAUUUUCAAGUGUGAAUUAAUAUAAACUAAUGUGAAGAAAAUAACUAAAACUAGUAUAAAGAGAUGAUAUAUAUUAUAAAAAAUAUUAAUAAUAUAUUAUUAUAUUACUAAUUCUACUCUAUUUCUAAUCAUAUCCUUAAUCUCAUUCUCCUUUUCCUUCUACUUGCUGUCAAAACAAACAUAAACAUAUACAAGGGGAAAUAUUUGCAUCCCAUGACUCGUAUAUAACACCCCCACCCUACAUUAUUUAUCUAACCUUCUAUUCCAUCUUCUAAUCCCAUUUUUUCCUCAAAUGCAAAUGGAGAGAGUUCAAUUGGAACCCAAGAAGAAGGGAAAGCAAAAGAGGAUAAAAGAAAAGGAAUGAAAAUAAUUUCUAUUUUUAGUUUAUUUAUUCUCUUAGUUUUCCAAUUAUACUCCAACCGAAGCAAAUACAUGAAAUCUUUGGUCGCGUAAUCUAGAUCACCAACCUUUUCUUCGAGAAGAAACUCGACAACAGCAAUGAACUUGACAAUGGCCAAAUUAAGAAUGUUGAGCCUACAGCUUCUUUAUUGUCAUCACUAUGGCCACAGUGGCAAUCUUCAAAUUCUCGAACUUGAUUUAUUUCGAGACGAUCUCGGGAUCCAGCCCCAAUCUCUUUUGUCCAAACACUGCUGCCAUCUUUCGCUUUUUAAACUCAUCCAGUGACUCGCUUCAAAAUCAUCACCUGUCUCGUUACCAGGUUGGAAAGGCUACAUGGAAUCACAUUUGAAAAUCAAGAGAUCUAGUUAAAGAUUUUAAACUAUAAGAACCAUAUAAAAAUAUUAGUGAAAUUUAAAAAAUUUAAAAUAUAAUUUAUGAUAUAUGAAUGAUGAUGUGAUAUACAAAUAAUAUAGGAAUACUUUUUGACCACAAAAUUAUGUAGCAAGCACCGUAUCAUCAAGCCUAUACCAUAUUAUCACCAACUGCCAUAUGAUCACUUAUUUAAAUGGUUUGUACUGCAUAAUCAUCAGUUAAUACCAGCAGAGACUUUCGGUGGAGAAAGUGGCCGAAAACUGAGGGAAGGAUCAUACUAAAAUAAUUAAGAAAAAAUAGAGAUGAAAUUUGGGCCUUACGAAGUUUAAGAACUUAUUAAAAUUUCAUCCUACAUUUGAAGGACUAAAAGCAUAAUUAAUCUAAAUAAAUAUCAUAGUUAAGAUCACGUCCUUGCAGGGAAAGAAAAAUGCACCAUAGCAAUAUUUUUAUAUAUUAUUUUAUAUAUAAUGUAAAAUAAUAUAUAAAAUAUCCCAGUUUAAGGUUUCAAAAUCAUUACUAAACAAAUAUGAAUCUAACGAACCCCGGGGUAUGUAAUCAUAAACUAGUAGCCUUUUAUCACCUUCAGAGCAGAACCCAAGGAGACGGACUAGAUUAACAUGGUGAAUCAUCCCGAUCGUGCUUCCAUCCUGAACUGCUUCUCCCCUUGCCUAACACCUUCAAGUUUCUUGACAGCAAUGACAGUUGAGUCUGGCAAAAUUCCCUUGAACACAGUCCCGAAACUUCCUUGCCCGAGUUUCUUUGAGAAAUCCUUGGUGGCCCUCUUUAUAGCUUUGUAAUCGAAUGGAACCAGAAAACCUUGAGCUGCCUCAGGAUUUCUAAAAGUAGGUUUCCAACAGAAUCUCCAGAUCAACACCAAAACAAAGCUGGUGAUAAGAACAAGAGCUACCACAGAGCUAACGACAGCCAUAGUCCUCAACUUUUCAGAUUGAGGCCUCGCCGACUCGAAACCAGCAAGCCGAAGAUAAAGAACUCCUAACUUUGCAUCAUUAUUUGAACUUACAGACACCCACGGCGCAGCAUGUGCCUACCACCCACCCUCCUAGUGCCCACGGUUCCCCACACCCUCCGAUCUGUUAUUUUUUCAUGCCACCAUCACAUCCACACCAUUUUUGCCUCUUCUCAUCAGAGAAAAAGAAGAGCAUCAUGACAAAAUUAUUGGCUAUAUUUUAAAAAAUUGAUUUCACAUUACUGAUAAUCUGAUUGUCAUAUCGAAUAUAUUAAUUAAGAUUUUCAGUAAUUUUAUCACAACAUUAUCUGCGUGUAUCGAAUAUAAUAAUCAAUAUUACUGAUAAUUUAAUGGUAGCAACUUGAAAGCAAUCGACAUAAUCUUCCAAAAUUAUCUGACGAUACACCAAACACAACCUUAGUGUCUCAAGAGAAUUUCUCGUACAACUCAAGCUUAAACCAUUAGACGGUGAUUGAGUAAAUUCCAAGUAUUAAGUAGAUGAUCAUUUCUUUCAUGUGUUACGCCAUUUCAUGCACUUGUUCUCUUCUUCUCCUAAAAUUUUUCAUCUCUGAGCAUAUCCUGUACAUUAUUUUUCUUGAUUAAUAAUAUUUGUGGGGAAGUGUCUCACUUCAUUACUUCUCUAAAAAGAAAAAAAAUAACUUUUUAGGAGUAUUGAUUCGCUCUACUUGACAUCAGCUGUGGAGAUAGUAGAAUGCCUUGCUUUCUUGAUUUCCUUAUGGAACAAAUGUCCUUACUAGUUCUAAUUAAAAAGCUUCAGUUGCCUCCUUUCCCUCCUGUCUCUACUUUGUAAUCCUUCCCAUUCUUUUCAUUCCGUUAAAAAACAUUGUGAGUUUUUGUUCCUUUAGUAAACUAAAGUUUUUUGGACCAUUUCUGAAAAAAAUUAUGAUCUCUCUGUGGAUGUCUGGCUAGGACAUUACCUCUCAGAACUUUUUCGAUACCGCAUGAUGCAACAGGAAGAAAAAAGAAAUACAACAAAAAACAAUCAAAUAUGUGGAUCAACCAAAAAGAGCUCAUCUUCACGGGGCAUACAAACUUUACCAUGAAAAAAAAUAUUACAAGAGGAGACCUCACCCUCAAUCCUCGUACACUCAAUUUUUUCCUCACAGGAAGUUCUUCCUCGCAAAAACUCUCUUUAGAAAAACCCCCCCUAAAUCUCUGAAGUGACCGCUGUCCGCUGUCAAGAAACCUCCUACUCCUCCUCUCAGCAUCACGCGUCUCUCUCUGUCCGUGGGCUCUCGAUUUUUCGCCUGAUGAAAACAGUGCCGCGCACCACUAAUCUCGGGUUCUUAGGUGUUCUGUUGGAUGAAAACCACCACACACCAUCCUGUUUCACGAUCAGGCCCUUUUAAAGGCUUUAAACUUGACUUAGAUUAGGAUUAGGAAUCCUAAUAUGGUCCAAACAAAACUCAGAAAACUCCUAAAAUCGUUGGAUCUCGAUCAAAAUCAACCUACGUCUUCUGAUCGCACGUCGAUUCACAGAACAGUGCCGUGGACCGUGAGAAAUGCCCAUGUGAUCGUUGCAGCUUCCUGUGCACCGUCCGAUCUACGGUGGACUGGGCUACAGGCUCCCAGCAGGCCGCGUAGGCCUGGGCUGCACCCGCGCGCUCGUGUGCUUAGUCCUGGGCUGGUCCGCAACGCAGCCGUGCUUGAGCCACGCCCCGCCGCCAACGGCCACGCCGCCGCCACUCGCCGGCAGUCCUCUGCUGCUUCGAAUUCCGUGCCGACUUCAAUCGCUUGUAUCUUGGCCAUCCGGACUCCGUUUGAAGUGAUCUUAAUCUCGUUGAACUCCAUUUUUUGUUGCGGACCUCGCUAUAAGCUUAAUGUGGACCGAAUCUCGAGGCAUCAAAUCUUAACACCCUUAUGGUUUCUACAAAAUUAUAAUAUCCAAAUGCAUUUUUGAUGUGGAUAUUUACUUUCCUUGCAUCACCAAGGAAGCUGAUAUACCACAAAAAAAAAAGCAAUUUAAACUUUAAAUCUCAUGAAGGGCCAUACCAAGAAAGGGAGCCACUCUGUGGGCAUUAACUUCCACCGGAAGAGAAAGAAUGAUAAUGGCAACACCAACAGGAAGCGAUGGUCAUUUUUUUCCCCUGUUAAUUUUGAGAAUUUGGGAGGAGGGUUAACGUGUUUCCAACGCACAGAGAAUAUUAUUUGGAAGGAGAAUUCAAAAGCACGUCCGGUGCCAUCUUUUUGGAUUGGACCUCCAUUAUGACGAGGUGGAUUUCCAAGUCAAACGUUCGACACCAACUGCCUGGAACCAAUUCUGCAUUGCUAGACUGACUUAAAUCUUUGGAAAGUCAAGACAUGCUUUUGCUGUAAUACUGAAAAACAUGGAAACUCUAGUCUUGACUAAGUCAAUGUUUGACGCCAACUGGUAAGCUACCUAGAACCAAAUCUACAUUGCUAGGUUUCCAAGUCCUGGGAGCACCAUUUCUGUUUCUACUUAUCCAGAAAUUACAUUACAGAUUAUCUUUCUUCAAAGAUAGCUACCAAAAUGAGGCCUUUGCUCACUGCCCUUCUGUUGCUUUGCCUCUUUCUUUUCAUCUCCUCUGGUUCUUCAGUCCAGAUUACGGGUGAUACCCUCAGUCAGGGCCAAUCUCUCUCGGGAAACCAGACCAUGGUAUCCAGGGGUGGCAAUUUCGAGCUUGGUUUCUUCACCUCAGGUAAUCCUCACAAGUAUUAUUUGGGCAUUUGGUAUAAGAAAGUCUCUAAACAAACUGUAGUUUGGGUAGCAAACAGGGAGAGACCUGUGUUUAACACUUCAUCUUCAGAGUUAAAACUAUCUAAAAAUGGUAAUCUAAACAUUGUCAUGCACUCAAAAAACAUUAUCUGGUCAUCCAGCUCAAUGUUCACUGCUUCAAACUCCACAAUCGCAGUGCUCCAUGACGAUGGCAACCUUGUCAUAAAAGAUGAUUCUAACUCUCAUUUUUCUUGGCAAAGUUUCGAUCACCCAACAAAUACAUGGCUACCUGGUGCGAAGUUGGGGUAUGAUAGGUUCAGCAAAGAAAACCGUUACCUCACUUCAUGGAGGAAUUCCGAAGAUCCUUCACCUGGGCUAUUCUCUGCUGAGGUCAACCCCAAUGGCUUCCAUCAUUUCUUGCUGAUUAGCAGGAACCGACAAUACUGGCCUUCCGGGAUUGAGGACAUCCUGCUUUUCAGUUCAAUCCCGGCAUUAAAGAAGUUCUACAGCUUCAACUACGUAACAGAUGGGAACACGAGCUACUUCAAUUAUUUUGUUCAUGAUAGUUCUGUUAUCUCAAAUUACAUGUUAGAUUUCACAGGCCAAAUGAAGCGGCGAGUAUGGAACAACGAGAUACGGGAUUGGGUAGUGCAUUGCAUUUUUCCAUCCGAUCCAUGUGAUGUGAAUACACUCUGCGGACCCUUUAGUAGCUGCCGCAACUACAGCUCUCCCUCCUGUGAGUGUUUGCGAGGCUUUGAGCCACUGUCUAUGGAAGAUUGGAAUUUAGGCGAUCACACUGGAGGGUGUGUCAGAAAAGCUCCAUUGCAGUGCGGAGAAAUAGAUGGCUUCAUGAAGCUAUCCAAUGUGCAGUUGCCGGUUAGUCCUGAGCCACUAGCCCUGGGCAGUGCAAAAAAGUGUGAAGUAGCUUGCUUUAAUAAGUGUUCCUGUGUUGCUUACUCUUAUGACAAAGGGUGUUUAAUUUGGAAUGGUGAAAUUCUAAACCUCAAAACAUUGUCUGAUAGUGCGAUCAGUGAAGGAGGAUCAGGAGUUCUUUAUCUUCGUCUUGCUUCUUCAGAGCUCAUGAGGCCUAAUAAUGAGAAGAGUUGGGAGUAUGCUGUGGUCAUUUUUAGUUCGGUGGCAGGUUUUGCUCUCAUCACCGGCAUUGUUUUAGUUCUGAUUUGGAGAUUCUGGAAGACACCAGAAGUUGCAAGUUCAGAGACAGUUCAAGGUUUUCUUGUUAUGUUUGAUUACAAAGUUAUAAGGAGGGCCACGAAGGACUUCUCAGAGAAGCUUGGCCAAGGAAGCUUCGGGACUGUGUUUAAAGGAAUACUGUCAGACUCAACUGUAAUAGCUGUUAAGAAACUUGAAGGUCUUUGUCAGGGGGAGAAGCAAUUCAGGACGGAAGUAAGCACAAUUGGGAUGAUUCACCAUGUCAAUCUAGUCCAUCUUCGUGGCUUCUGCUCUGUAGGUGAUGUAAGGCUACUGGUUUAUGAUUAUGUUCCCAGAGGUUCAUUAGAUUCAUAUUUGUUUAGUAAUGAUUUUGAAACCUUAAACUGGGAUCAAAGGUUCCAAAUUGCACUGGGAGUUGCAAGAGGAUUGACCUAUCUCCAUGAGAAAUGCAGAGAAUGCAUCGUGCACUGCGACAUCAAGCCUGAAAAUGUACUUUUGGAUGUGGGUAUGUGUGCAAAGAUUUCGGAUUUUGGUAUGGCAAAGCUCAUUGGUCAUGAAUUUAGCCAAGUGUUGACGACUAUGAGAGGAACCAUUGGCUAUCUGGCACCAGAAUGGCUCUGUGGUUCUUCUGUCACUCCAAAAGCCGAUGUCUAUAGCUAUGGAUUGGUGCUGCUCGAAAUAAUCUCAGGCAGGCGAAACACGGACAGAUUGGAAGACGGGAAAUUUCUUUAUUUCCCUGUCUGGGCUGCAAUCAAGCUCCAUGAAUGUGACAUUCUUUGCUUACUAGAUGAGAAAUUGGAAGGCAAUGCCAAUGUAGAAGAGCUUAGCCGAGCUUGUAAGAUUGCUUGUUGGUGUAUUCAGGAUCUAGAGAGCAAUAGGCCAACUAUGGCACAGGUCGUUCAACAAUUGGAAGGUCUUUCAAAUGUCAGCAUGCCUCCCAUCCCUCGGUUACUUCAGAAACUUGUCAUGGAUGACAGCAAAGGUGAUAGGGAUGCCGAAUUCUUCAGCACCUCAGAGUCUUCAGAGGAAUUCUCACGCAGCUCAAAAAUAGAUCAUUCGAAGGUGACCAUGUGAAUUCCACAUAUUGAGUGGAUGAUCAUGUUGACAUCUUGAAUUCUUUGAUUAGUUCUGCUUGAUAUCAACUAUAGCGAUGGUAGAAUGAAUGCCUUUCCCGAACUCCAGUGAAGUGAUAUAUUUGUAGUUCUCAUAGAAGAAGCUUUUAGUUUCCUUCUCCUUUACCUCUCUUUCUGUACUAUGUAACCCUUGGCCUCUUUUCAGUGUGUCACCUUUCAUUUCUUAUCGAAAAGCAAUGUGAUUUUCAUCUUUUAGUAAAGAAAUUUUCUUAUAGAUGUUCCUUCAAGAGUGACAUAUUCUGAGUCUGCAGUCCCUCGAAACAAAGCAUGAGGGUCAUAGGAAACUACCAAAGCACCCUUCCCACUCUUCUCAUCCCAUCAAGGGAGGUUGCACACUUCUUUCCAUUUUGUGGGCUUAUUAAAACUGAGAAGAUUCUCAGAACAUACCUGAAGGAGAAUAUGAUUCUGGAUGGUGCUUGUAAAAUUGCGACGUCCAAGUGCAUUCUUGAUGUGGUUUUUCACUUGUAUCUCCGAAGAGACAAUAUGGCAGAUACAAGUUAAAUAACCCCAUGAUGGGCUGUACCAAGUUGGUGUUCCGCUCUAUUGGCAUUAUUUCAAUUGGAAGAGGAGAUUAGAACAGCUUUAUUUGAAGUCCUCCUAUCACGGUGGACUGCUUAUCAUAUAAACUCAGUUAAUCUCUGAAUACUAGUCAUAAAGGUGAUGUAAGAGUCUGAAGUUCAUACGAAUCACAAUCAUACCUCUCGUAGUAGGGAUUUCUGUGAUUUUCGUUGGGAUUGUAUGAUAUAUUUCAGCUCCAAUCUACAGUCUAAAGAAUAAAUACAGAACUAGAUUUGAAAAUAGCCUGGAUAUCCAUCUAUAUCCUUUUUUGCAUUUUUAAGGUUGAUAUAUGGAUCUUUAUAAAUUCUUCCAAAUUCACAUAUGGAAAUGGAUAUUGAUUUAUUAUUUGCAUAUGGAUAUCGAUCUCCGGACACCGGGUUGAAGAUAUUGUUAUGUACAUUGUCAUAUCAUAGAGAUGAUUCUUGCCGAUGUUAUAAUUUAUUUGGAUUAUAAUUCGAGUUGUAAGGCUACUUUUACAUUGCUUACUUUUAGAGAUUUAUCUCAUCAUGUUUUUUCGCCUGAGUCUUAUCUUCAAUACUUGGCUUAUAUAUUGCGGAUAUAUGAUUCACAUCUGUCAUAUCUGAUUCUUAUCUGUAUUUGCAUUAAUCCAGUUUUUCGAUAAGAAAUUUGCAUCUGUUUUUGCUUAUACAACAGCGACUAUUCUUAUUUGCGCAUGUAUUUGUAUCAGCUGAACAUAAAUGGAUAUGUAUACACAAUUAUUUGACCAUUUCCAAGUCCAUUUUCAACCCCUCAUAGAAGGAAAAUAUGCAUAAGCAGACUGAUAUCUGCCUUUUGCUGAUGAACAUGAAUACAGAUAAGAAAAUGUACGAAAUAAUAGAAGUAAUAACAAUAUUUGGAUAAAUGAAGCAAUUAACAUGGACAAGUGCCUUCCGUGGAUUUAUGAGUAGAGAACUUGUUACCCAUUCUAUAGAGUCAAAAUAAUCAGGGCAGAGCGAGGAGUACAAAUCAGUAAGCUCAUCACAAGUAUAAGAUAUUGUGUUUAAAACUGAAGAGAAGAGAGGGAACAACUGUAGAAAAGAUCAACCACAGCUAGUUACUGUAGUUGAGGAUUAACCUAAGGUGUUAUUCUAAAGGAGUUACAAGAAGGUGGGACAUUCUACCAUUUCUAUAUAACAUCAAAUAGACAUGGCCAAAUAUUCCACUAAUACAACAUGAUUCUUUAUUUAGUACAUGUCUAAAAGAUCAGCCACAGCUAUUUACUGUAAUUGAGGAUUAACCUAAGGUAUUAUUCUAAGGGAGUUACAAGAAGGUAGGACAUUCUACUAUUUCUAUAUAACAUCAAAUGGACAUGGCCAAAUAUUCCACUAACACAACAUGAUUCUUUAUUUAGUACAUGUCUACCAAUCUCCAUGGCAUGCUUUAAACUUGAGCAGCAUAGAAUUACCCUGUAGACUCUGACAAAGUGCUAAUGCGGGAAUCCACGACAAGUUUCUGAAGCAAACUAGGGAUCGGAGGCAUUCCCAUAUCUAAAACUCCCUCCAAUUGCUGAACCACAUGUCCCAUUGUUGGUCUACUGCUUUCUUGAUCCUGAAUACACCAGCAAGCAAUUUUGGAAGCACGACUAAGCUCUUCGAUGUCGGCACCUCCCUCCAACUUCUCAUCUAGUAAGCAAAGACAAUCACCUUCAUUCACUUUGAUUGCAGCCCAGAGAGGGAAGUACCCAAAUUCUCCAUCUCCUAUUCUGUCUGUGUUUCGCCUGCCUGAGAUUAUCUCAAGGAGCAUCAAUCCAUAUGUAUAAACAUCAGCUUUUGGAGUGAUGGCAGAGCCUGUGAGCCAUUCUGGAGCUAGAUAGCCAAAAGUUCCUCUCAUGCUUGUCAGUACUCGGCUAAAUUCAUGACCGAGGAGCUUUGCCAUACCAAAAUCUGCAAUCUUUGGACACAUAUUCAUAUCUAAAAGUACGUUCUCAGGCUUGAUAUCGCAGUGCAUGAUGCAUUCUCUACAUUUCUCAUGGAGAUAAGCUAAGCCUCUGGCAAUCCCCAGUGCAACUUGGUACCUCUGCUUCCAGUCUAAGAUUUUGGAGCUACUUUUGAACAGAUAUGAAUCUAACGAACCCCCGGGUAUGUAAUCAUAAACUAGUAGCCUUUUAUCACCUUCAGAGCAGAAUCCAAGGAGACGGACUAGAUUAACAUGUUGAAUCAUCCCGAUCGUGCUUACUUCCAUCCUGAACUGCUUCUCCCCUUGCCUAACACCUUCAAGUUUCUUGACAGCAAUGACGGUUGAGUCUGGCAAAAUUCCCUUGAACACAGUCCCAAAACUUCCUUGCCCGAGUUUCUCGGAGAAAUCCUUGGUGGCCCUCUUUAUAGCUUUGUAAUCGAAUGGAACCAGAAAACCUUGAGCUGCCUCAGGAUUUCCAAGAGUAGGCUUCCAACAGAAUCUCCAGAUCAACACCAAAACAAAGCUGGUGAUAAGAACAAGAGCUACCACAGAGCUGAUGACAGCCACAGUCCUCAACUUCUCAGAUUUAGGCCUCGCCAGCUCGGAACCAGCAAGCCGAAGAUAAAGAACUCCUAACUUUGCAUCAUUAUUCGAACUUACAGACAGUUUUUUAAGGUUGAGAAAAUCCCCGUUCCACAUCAAACACUUGGAACCAUAAGAAAAAAUAACACAUGAACAAUUCUUCAAGCAAGUGGAUUGACACUCUUUUGCGCUGCUGACUGCUAAAGAUUCAGGAUUGGUGGGCAGCUGCACACCGGACAACUUCAUGAAUCCAUCAUUUUCAUCGCACUGCAGAGAUGUUUUUCUAGCACAACCUCUGGUGUGAUCACCUAAAUUCCAUUCUUCCAUGGACAGAGGCUCAAAGCCUUGCAAACACUCACAGGAGGGAGAGCUGUAGUUGCUGCAGCUACUGAAGGACCCACAAAGAGCAUAAACAUCGCAUGGAUCCCUUGGAAGAGAGCAAUACAAUGUCCAGUUCUGUGUGGUUGGGUCCCAUUGCUGGCGUAUCAUAAGGCCUGUGAAAUCCAACAUGAAGUUCGAGAUAGAGGAAGUGUCGCGGACAUAGUAACUGAAGUAGUUCACAUUCAUGUUGGCGACAUAGUUGAAGUUGAAGAAGUAGUUUGAUCUCAUUUCUGGGAUCGCACUAAAUAUUUGCCCAUCCCAAACCCCAGUAGUCCAGUACUCUCGAGUCCUGUUAGCCAGAAAGAAGAACUGACUGAUGCCUUUCGAGCUGAUCUCGACAGAGAAGGGCCCAGGUGAAGGAUCUUCUGAAUUCUUCCACGAAGUGAGGAAACUGUCCACCUUGUCGAGCUUAUCAUACCCCAACUUAGCUCCAGGGAGCCAUGUGUUUGUUGGGUGAUCAAAGCUUUGCCACAAAAUAUGAGAACUGUACUCAUCUUUUAACAUGAGAUUACCAUUGUCAAGGAGCACUGCGAUUGUGGAGUUUGAAGCAGUGGAGGUUGAAUUGGAUGACCAGAUUUGGUUUUUGGAGUGCGUGAGCACUAGAUUGCCAUCUUCAGAUAGAUUUAGCUCUGAAGCUGAAUCAUUGACGCCAGGUUUCUCCCUGUUCGCCACCCAAACUACAGUUUGCUUGGAGACCUUCUUAUACCAGAUGCCUACAUAGUACUUGUGGGAGUUACCUGGGGUGAAGAAACCAAAUUCGAAGUUGCCACCCUUGGACACUAAGGUCUGGUCCCCAGAGAGAGACUGGCCUCGAGAGAGGGUAUCGGUAGCAGCAUGGAGUUUGGCACGGGAGGAGAAGAAUGGAAAGAAAGGAAGCAACAGAAGAGAAGUGAACAAAAGUCUGAUGACAGCCAUAUCUGUUCUGAUUAGAAAGAGUAAAUCAAGUGAUGCCCAUUUCAUGCGUUCGGCAGUUGAGAGACUGAAAGAAAGUGAGCAAUGAAUGAAAGCUAAUCCAUUGGUUAGUGUUCAUUUUCUGAUCUUGAUGUUUACAAAAACUUGUUUAAUUAUUAGUCUCAUAUGGUGCAUGAAUGAGUUGGUUACAUGUCACAUGGUGCAUGAAUGAGUUGGUUACACGUCCAUCUCCAUCUAUGAGAAAAAUCCCUCAUUGAAUGGUUCACAUGCAGCAUCAUUAAGAAGAUAUUAGAAACCAAAAAGCUGGGAAAUUAAGAUCACGAUCGUCACAUUAAAGAAAUUAAUUAGGGGUACAAACCAAUUAGUAUGAUCUGCAAUUAACUGGACAGGUUAAAGUAAUUUCUUAAAAUCAGCUUAGAGUGUGAAAGGGCCAAAAAGUCGCGUACGUGCUGGAGCUAUCGGUCAUCUGAUUGCUCUAAUUACUGCCUCUUAUCCGUGAAUUAUUCCAGAUAUUUUAUUUCCAAAGUUGAAAAAGUUGCCAUUAAGAACCUUUUCCACAAGAAAGCAUCCGCUGACUGCUAACGGUCUUUCACAUCACUUCUACUCUCUUUCCCUUUCCUACUUCAUAGAAAACUGGUUCGAAACUUUCGAAGUGGAAGAGAGAGAAGAAAUUGACAGCAUUUCCUAGUCUUCAAGAUGGUAAUUCAUCUUCAGACCCCAUUCACAUAUACAUGCACGAGCUAAUCUCAGAAGUCUUCCGUGCAUUGCACUCGGGGCACGGCAGUUGUAAACUGUGCCCUUCCCUUUCCAAUGGCACUGACUUUUAUUUCACCCUACCUCACUAACUAACAAAACCUGAGAGCUG